rnacentral:misc_RNA from 1 species
GGCAUCCUCAAGAAAUUGGGAAGAGACACUUUUAAAGACGGAGAGAAGCAGAGGUCUGUCAUAGCUGUGGACGGUGCAUUGUUUGAGCAUUACACCAAGUUCAGAAAUUGCUUGAAGGAAACUAUGAAAGAGUUACUGGGAGAUGCUGCAGAUAGCACAGUCAUUGAGCUUUCUAAUGAUGGUUCAGGCGUUGGAGCUGCACUUUUGGCUGCCUCACAUUCCCAAUACACAGAUCUCGAGGAAUCUUGAUCAUGGUCAGAGUGACACAACCAAAAGUGCCUGGUCAAGAGUUCUCUACGUUUACAAUCGCCCCUCUUCUUGCUAAAGGGAACCCACUUCUUACUUUCUUCUACGAGACGAUUGAAAUAUUUCUUGCUUCCUUGUGCACUGUGUCAU